UGAGGAAUAUUGGACAAUGGAUGGAAAUCUGAUCCAGCCAUGCCGCGUGCAGGAAGACGGCCCUAUGGGUUGUAAACUGCUUUUGUAUGGGAGCAAUAAGGUCUAUGCGUAGACUGAUGAGAGUACCAUACGAAUAAGCAUCGGAUAACUCCGUGCCAGCAGCCGCGGUAAUACGGGGGAUGCAAGCGUUAUCCGGAUUUAUUGGGUUUAAAGGGUGCGUAGGCGGUUUGAUAAGUCAGCGGUGAAAGACUUGAGCUGAACUGAAAGGGUGCCAUUGAUACUGUCAGGCUUGAAUAUGGUUGCUGUGGGUGGAAUGUGUGGUGUAGCGGUGAAAUGCUUAGAUAUCACACAGAAUAUCGAUUGCGAAGGCAGCUCACAAAGCCAUUAUUGACGCUGAUGCACGAAAGUGUGGGGAUCAAACA
rnacentral:rRNA from 1 species